AAAGUGUUGCCGUGCUAGGCAAAUGUAUGAGAAUGAUGAAUUCAGUAGUACGCGAGAAGAGGUCAGAUGCUGCAUUGAGUAUCUUCCGUGAGCGAGGAAAUGCUGAACUUCAGCUCAGUAUAUCACUGCUGAAGCUGUGCCCGGCCAUGGGAGAUGACAAGCAGUUGCUACCAGCCAAGCUUUAAAUUAGGAGAGAAGAACCUUUUUCAUUACAUUCCAAAGAAUUGUGAAAGAUGUGGAAAUCACUGCUUGGAAAACUGUACUUCUACAGGGAGCUGAGUGAAGUCCUACUGAUUCUCACUGCAAUGAAGUACUCAGGACACUUUUUUUGAGCCCACCACUACAGUCAUCACAAAGACAACACUUAGUCCAAGAAGAUUCUAGGCCUUCUUCAGAAGGUGCUGCUAAUUCCCCUAUUUUCUUCCAGAAAUGGGAAAAAUGAUCUAUAUUAGGAAAUGCGUUCUU